AAUAAGAUCAUUUUUCAGCUUUUGGAUACAAUAUUUUGACUCUUCGUCUUAUUUGAAAAUUUUUUGCGAUUAAUAUUUUUAUUCUUACCUGAUAACAAAACAUGAAUGGUACUUUAUAUGUCAUUAAUUUUUUUAAGUUUUUUAUAAAUUUUUUAAAUAAAACAAAUGGUCAAAUGUUGUACACAGAAAAACAAAAAAUGGAGUUAUU
rnacentral:pre_miRNA from 1 species